AUGAUUUCUGGCCAUGACCCCUGUCACACUACUGCUGUCUCUGCGGUGCCCACAGUGCCGAAACAAGUGCCCAGCAUUCCCAUUCCCCCUUUGUCCUUAUUGUGUCUAAUAAAACCGUGUUCAGUUCAACAUGUGUGUCCGCGACUUUGCUCUCCCCAACCCCUCAUGAAAUAUUGCACGUCACAUGAACAUGUCCGUAUACAAAUGAACAGAAGAGAGGCUGGAGUAAAAUCGUAUGAUCUUUACUGUUGUCUUCAUUCUCUUUUUUUGUUUGCAAAAAUAAAACAAAUGCUCAGCAUAUCAGACACAUCUACAAAGAUUUGUGCAAUGUCAGAAUUAACAGAACAUGUACAUACCCCAAGGCACAAAAAGCAGGAAAAGUUGUGAAGUAAAAGCUGGCUAACGCUGCAAAGCAUAACAAAAGGUGAGUUAUAAUGAGUUAUUAGUGAGUUAUAAUCUUGCUCAGAAUUAUAACUCACUAACACCAUGUAACUACAUCAGCCUAUCAGAGUAUGGCCAGACAAACAGAAAGUAUUACCAGAACCAAAAACAGUAUUAUUUAAACACAUACCCAUGAGACAUAACAUUAUUUUAUUCAAAUUUAAAGAAUGGAAUUCAGGUUUUGUGUGUAAAAUGUUUUAUCAAGCCCAAAGUUGUACAUGGUGUAAAUGUCACUGUUGUGUUUUUGUGAUUCUUUAGUGAAAUAAAGUCCUAGCUAUGCCAAUGUUAAUGUACAAUUUAAAUAAUGAGUAUAGUGUUGAAUGCACAAGAGGGUUGUUUCCCCCAAACACCUGAUUGAAAAAGAUGAGUAGUUUGAUAGAUUGACCGGUUUCCUCCCACUGCCCAAAGGCAUGCACACUAGUGACCUGUUAAUUUUUCUUAUCAAAUAUGUUUUGUAAAAUACUGUUGAACGAAUGCAAUUUUUUAUAAUGUUUGGAAGAGCAUACACUGGGGCAAAAAAGCACCGAUUGUGCAAUUUGUCUCACUUAAAAAGAUCUGUAAUUUUCUUGCUUGUUUUUAGGUUUUAGAUUUUCUGCACCAUACAAAUUCUUUAAAAAUCAGACAAUCCUGGAUUUUACAUUCUGUCUUUUACAGUUGAAGUGUGAUGAUGAAAAUUACAGACCUGUCUCAUCUUUUUAAGUGGGACAACUUGCACAAUCAGUGGCUGCCAAUACCCCACGGUAUCUCUGAUGUGCAUUUUUAAGGGUAUACACAAAAUAGACUCAAAACUCGAAAUGCUGCAAUUGCACCUGGCCUAACCAGGUGUCAAUGUUAAAAUUGUAUCAGCAGGACACGGGACACAAUUCUAUAGAAAUGUGCAUAAGCUAUGUGCUGUAUUUUGUGUUGAACACUGUUUGUAUUGGUCAAGGUGCUUGUCACAGCAGCCAUGCCACCACCGGGCCACCAUUUAUGUUUUGUUUAUAAUACUCACCUUUUUCACCUGUCAAGCAUUUGUGCCUCUCCUUCAUCGGCCC
ensembl:lncRNA